AUGGCUGAUUUAUUUCAUGAAAGAUAUGGCCACACUAAUUUUACAAAGAUACAGAUUCAGGAAAAGCAGAAAGACUUGAAAGCUCAAUACCGACUUAUUAAGGAUGCUCGCAAACAGAGCGGUGUCAGCUGGAACUAUCAUACACACAUGAUAGAUGCUGACGCGCAUCUUUGGCAAAACUUGAUGACUACAUGGCCAGAAAUAGCUAGGUUCCAGAAUAAGCCAUUUCCCCUCUACGAUAAGCUUGGUGAUCUGUAUGAUGGGCAUAUAGGAGAAGGUAACUUCAAUUUCACAUCAACUGAGGUUACACAAGUGAGUGAUGGUGAUCCCGAAGUUGAAAGAGAGAAGAAUGCCUUCUCUUUGACCUGA
rnacentral:rRNA from 1 species